rnacentral:rRNA from 1 species
GACGAACGCUGGCGGCGUGCUUAACACAUGCAAGUCGAACGGUGAUGCAAGAGCUUGCUCUUGUUGAUCAGUGGCGAACGGGUGAGUAACACGUGAGCAACCUACCCUUGACUCUGGGAUACCAGCUGGAAACAGCUGCUAAUACCGGAUAUUCAACCCUAGGGGCAUCCCCAGGGUUGGAAAGCUCCGACGGUCAGGGAUGGGCUCGCGGCCUAUCAGCUUGUUGGUGAGGUAACGGCUCACCAAGGCGUCGACGGGUAGCCGGCCUGAGAGGGCGACCGGCCACACUGGGACUGAGAUACGGCCCAGACUCCUACGGGAGGCAGCAGUGGGGAAUAUUGCGCAAUGGGCGAAAGCCUGACGCAGCAACGCCGCGUGCGGGAUGACGGCCUUCGGGUUGUAAACCGCUUUCAGCAGGGACGAAACUAGACGGUACCUGCAGAAGAAGCACCGGCUGACUACGUGCCAGCAGCCGCCGUAAAAC